UGAUAACCCCUGGGUCCAUCUGGCCAUC
rnacentral:piRNA from 1 species